rnacentral:rRNA from 1 species
AUUGAACGCUGGCGGCAUGCUUUACACAUGCAAGUCGAACGGUAACAGGUUAAGCUGACGAGUGGCGAACGGGUGAGUAAUGCAUCGGAACGUGCCCGGUCGUGGGGGAUAACGCAGCGAAAGCUGCGCUAAUACCGCAUACGAUCUAAGGAUGAAAGCGGGGGACCGUAAGGCCUCGCGCGAUCGGAGCGGCCGAUGUCAGAUUAGGUAGUUGGUGGGGUAAAGGCUCACCAAGCCAACGAUCUGUAGCUGGUCUGAGAGGACGACCAGCCACACUGGGACUGAGACACGGCCCAGACUCCUACGGGAGGCAGCAGUGGGGAAUUGUGGACAAUGGGCGAAAGCCUGAUCCAGCAAUGCCGCGUGCAGGAAGAAGGCCUUCGGGUUGUAAACUGCUUUUGUACGGAGCGAAAAGGUCUCCUCUAAUACAGGGGGCUCAUGACGGUACCGUAAGAAUAAGCGCCGGCUAACUACGUGCCAGCCGCCGCCGUAA